rnacentral:rRNA from 1 species
AGCGAACGCUGGCGGCAGGCCUAACACAUGCAAGUCGAACGACCCCUUCGGGGUUAGUGGCGGACGGGUGAGUAACACGUGGGAACGUGCCUUUAGGUUCGGAAUAACUCAGGGAAUCUUGUGCUAAUACCGAAUGUGCCCUUCGGGGGAAAGAUGUUAUCGCCUUUAGAGCGGCCCGCGUCUGAUUAGCUAGUUGGUGAGGUAAUGGCUCACCAAGGCUACGAUCAGUAGCUGGUCUGAGAGGAUGACCAGCCACAUUGGGACUGAGACACGGCCCAAAGUCCUACGGGAGGCAGCAGUGGGGAAUCUUGCGCAAUGGGCGAAAGCCUGACGCAGCCAUGCCGCGUGGAUGAUGAAGGUCUUAGGAUUGUAAAAUCCUUUCACCGGUGAAGAUAAUGACUGUAGCCGGAGAAGAAGCCCCGGCUAACUUCGUGCCAGCAGCCGCGGUAACAC